UACGGGGGGAGCAAGCGUUGUUCGGAUUUACUGGGCGUAAAGGGCGCGUAGGCGGCCAGCACAAGUCAGUUGUGAAAUCUCCGAGCUUAACUCGGAACGGUCAACUGAUACUGUGCGGCUAGAGUGCGGAAGGGGCAACUGGAAUUCUUGGUGUAGCGGUGAAAUGCGUAGAUAUCAAGAGGAACACCUGCGGCGAAGGCGGGUUGCUGGGCCGACACUGACGCUGAGGCGCGGAAAGCCAGGGGACGCGAACGGG
rnacentral:rRNA from 1 species